rnacentral:rRNA from 1 species
CGGCCCCGGGGUUUACCCCCCGGGCGCCCCUGGGCCCCACCGCGGGCGCCCGCCGGAGGUCACCAAACUCUUGAUAAUUUAUGGCCUCUCUGAGUCUUCUGUACUGAAUAAGUCAAAACUUUCAACAACGGAUCUCUUGGUUCUGGCAUCGAUGAAGAACGCAGCGAAAUGCGAUAAGUAAUGUGAAUUGCAGAAUUCAGUGAAUCAUCGAAUCUUUGAACGCACAUUGCGCCCGCCAGCAUUCUGGCGGGCAUGCCUGUUCGAGCGUCAUUUCAACCAUCAAGCCCCCGGGCUUGUGUUGGGGACCUGCGGCUGCCGCAGGCCCUGAAAAGCAGUGGCGGGCUCGCUGUCGCACCGAGCGUAGUAGCAUACAUCUCGCUCUGGUCGCGCCGCGGGUUCCGGCCGUUAAACCACCUUUUAACCCAAGGUUGACCUCGGAUCAGGUAGGAAGACCCGCUGAACUUAAGCAUAUCAAUA